ACGGACUGCAGCAGAUUC
rnacentral:misc_RNA from 1 species